GGAGUCGGCCGGACAGUCGCUGUGCUCUCGCCUUCGGGCGAGGAGCGUGGAGGAAAGUCCGGGCUCCGCAGGGCAGGGUGCCAGGUAACGCCUGGGCGGCGCGAGCCGACGGAAAGUGCCACAGAAAAUAUACCGCCGAUGUGCGCACGCAAGUGCUGCACAGGUAAGGGUGAAAAGGUGCGGUAAGAGCGCACCGCGCGACCGGCAACGGUUCGUGGCAGGGCAAACCCCACUCGGAGCAAGGCCAAAUAGGGGAACGAUUACGCGGCCCGCGUAGUUCCCGGGUAGGCCGCUUGAGGUGAACGGUGACGUUCAUCCCAGAUGAAUGACUGUUCUCGACAGAACCCGGCUUACAGGCCGACUCCUUCU
rnacentral:RNase_P_RNA from 1 species